rnacentral:lncRNA from 1 species
AUGCUCUCAGAUCUCAAGGUCUGGGGCAGUAGCAUCAGUGGGAGUCAGGGUCAUCAGAUUUCUGGACUCAACUGGUCUGAGUUCUUUAUGCUUGUGAGCACCAUACAGUUAACUUCUCCCACCUGGUGGGGGUUUUGUAUAUGCAAAACAGCUCAAAGGUAUUUUAUGUAUAUCCCUUCAGGGGGAUAUACCCCUGCCCAGGAGGUCUAUAGUUACUGCUCAUCCCUUGUCUCUACCUCCCCUCCCUUCAAAGGAACUCAGAGAAGGACAUGGACGCUGUUCAGUUCACCUCAGUCAUGUCCGCCUCUUUAUGACCCCAUAAACUGCAGCUCUCCAGGCUUCCCUGUCCCUCAAAAACUCCUGGAGCUUGCUCACACUCAUGUCCAUAAAUUCAGUGAUGCCAUCCAACCAUCUCAUCCAUUGUCGUCCCCUUCUCCUUCCACCUUCAAUAUUUCCCAGCAUCAGGGUCUUUUCAAAUGAGUCAGUUCUUCACAUCAGGUGGCCAAAGAUUUAGAGGUUCAGCUUCAGCAUCAGUCUUUCCAAUGAAUAUUCAGGACUGAUUUCCUUUAGGAUUGACUGGUUGGAUCUCUUUGCAGUCCAAGGGACUCUCAAGAGUCUUCUCCAACACCACAGUUCAAAAGCAUCAAUUCUUCGGCACUCAGCCUUCUUCACAGUCCAAUUCUCACAUUCAUACAUGACUACUGGAAAAACCAUAGCCUUGACUAGACAGACCUUUGUUGACAGAGUAAUGUCUCUACCUUUUAAUAUGCUG